GACGAACGCUGGCGGCGUGCUUAACACAUGCAAGUCGAACGGAAAGGCCCUGCUUUUGUGGGGUGCUCGAGUGGCGAACGGGUGGGUAAUACGUGAGUAACCUGCCCUUGACUUUGGGAUAACUUCAGGAAACUGGGGCUAAUACCGGAUAGGAGCUCCUGCUGCAUGGUGGGGGUUGGAAAGUUUCGGCGGUUGGGGAUGGACUCGCGGCUUAUCAGCUUGUUGGUGGGGUAGUGGCUUACCAAGGCUUUGACGGGUAGCCGGCCUGAGAGGGUGACCGGCCACAUUGGGACUGAGAUACGGCCCAGACUCCUACGGGAGGCAGCAGUGGGGAAUAUUGCACAAUGGGCGGAAGCCUGAUGCAGCAACGCCGCGUGCGGGAUGACGGCCUUCGGGUUGUAAACCGCUUUCGCCUGUGACGAAGCGUGAGUGACGGUAAUGGGUAAAGAAGCACCGGCUAACUACGUG
rnacentral:rRNA from 1 species